UUGGUUUGUUUUGUUUUGAUACAGGGUGUUGCUCUGUCACGAGAGCAGUGGUGUGAUCACAGCUCACUGCAGCCUCCAAAUCCUGGGCUCCAAGCGAUCCUCCCACCUCAGCUUUCCGAGUAGCUGGGACUACACAGGCGCCUGCCACCCUGCUCUGCUAAUUUUUAAUUUUUUUGGGUAGAGAUGGGGGUGAGGGAGAUAGGAGUCGGGGGGGAUGCUUGCCUUGUUGCCCUGGCUGGUCUCGAACUUGCGAGCUCAAGCAGUCCCCUCUCCUCGAUCUCCCAAAAUGCUGGGAUUACAGGCGUGAGCCACCGCACCAACUUCACUGGAAUGUACAGGCUGCCCA
rnacentral:lncRNA from 10 species